AUGAAGUUAUCUGCAGUGCAAAACAUUACAACCAGUUCCGUUCACAUUUGGCUUCGUUGCAGAAAGAAAUUAUUGACAAGGAAUUGAUCAAUUCAGUGAUUUAAAAAUUCAAAUAUUUACCUAAAACUUUUCAUACUUGAAAAUUUAUAUUUUGCAUAUUAUAUUUAGGACGUAAUGCACAGUAUUGCGCUAGAAGUUCAGAAACCACCUCCUUCAACAAAGUUAAAAGAUAUACUUCCCAUGGACAAAUUGGCCGAAGUUCGGAAAACGCAGGAGGAUCUGUCAUUCAAUCAAGUAAUGAGGAUAGAAAAAAACAUUGGAAAAUGGGAACUAAGACUCAAUGCUAUCGAGAAGCGUAAGCAUCUCGAACUCGUAAAGUCCUCACAACGACAAACAGCUCAACAUUAUCGAAGCUGGUACCUUCGCCAGAAACGUAAGGUUGACAACGUCGUACGAAAUAAAGAAUUGUUGGGGGACGUCAUGAAACGUGAAAUUCAGAGGGAGGAGAGGUUGGCUCAGCGCCCAGUUCGAGAGCGAGGCUUCAAAGAGCAACACAUGCCGAGGCAUUUUUGACACAACAAUUACGAGACCAACAAGCGCUGGAGUUGUUAAAGGACAUGGAUGACAAACGACAACUACAGAAAGUGGAAUGGAUUGAAAGAUAUAGGAAACACAUCAUUUAUAAGGAACAAAACCAAUCAAGAUGCCAUGCAUUAAGGAAAGCAAAAGAAGAUCGUGUUAUUAUGCUCAGGAGAAAAUACUUUGACUUGUGGAGGAAAAUCGUAAUUAGACACCGAGAGCGAC